rnacentral:rRNA from 1 species
UGGGGAAUAUUGCACAAUGGACGGAAGUCUGAUGCAGCAACGCCGCGUGCGGGAUGACGGCCUUCGGGUUGUAAACCGCUUUUUCUCAUGACGAAGUUUUUUGACGGUAGUGGGGGAAGAAGCACCGGCUAACUACGUGCCAGCAGCCGCGGUGAUACGUAGGGUGCGAGCGUUGUCCGGAAUUAUUGGGCGUAAAGAGCUUGUAGGCGGUUUGUCGCGUCGAUAGUGCAAACUCAGUGCUUAACGCUGAGCCUGCUGUUGAUACGGGCAGACUAGAGGAAGGUAGGGGGGAAUGGAAUUCCCGGUGGAGCGGUGGAAUGCGCAGAUAUCGGGAGGAACACCGGUGGCGAAGGCGGUUCUCUGGGCCUUUCCUGACGCUGAGAAGCGAAAGCGUGGGGAGCGAACAGG